rnacentral:rRNA from 1 species
UACAGAGGUCUCAAGCGUUGUUCGGAUUUAUUGGGCGUAAAGGGCGCGUAGGCGGCGGGGUAAGUCGGGUGUGAAAUCUCAGGGCUCAACCCUGAAACUGCACUUGAUACUGCUCUGCUUGAGGACUGGAGAGGAGACUGGAAUUCACGGUGUAGCAGUGAAAUGCGUAGAUAUCGUGAGGAAGACCAGUGGCGAAGGCGGGUCUCUGGACAGUUCCUGACGCUGAGGCGUGAAGGCCAGGGGAGCAAACGGG